rnacentral:miRNA from 1 species
GGGGAAUGAAGCCUGGUCCG